UGGGGGAUAUUGCACAAUGGGCGAAAGCCUGAUGCAGCGACGCCGCGUGGGGGAUGAAGGCCUUCGGGUUGUAAACUUCUUUUGCUCUGAACAAGGCAUGCUAAUGGGUGUGUUGAGUGUAGGGGUUGAUUAGCGCCGGCUAACUACGUGCCAGCAGCCGCGGUAAUACGUAGGGCGCGAGCGUUGUCCGGAAUUAUUGGGCGUAAAGGGCUUGUAGGUGGCUGGUUGCGUCUGUCGUGAAAGCUCAUGGCUUAACUGUGGGUUUGCGGUGGGUACGGGCUGGCUUGAGUGCAGUAGGGGAGGCUGGAAUUCCUGGUGUAGCGGUGGAAUGCGCAGAUAUCAGGAGGAAUACCGGUGGCGAAGGCGUGUCUCUGGGCUGUUACUGACACUGAGGAGCGAAAGCAUGGGGAGCGAACAGG
rnacentral:rRNA from 1 species